UACAGAGGUCCCAAGCGUUGUUCGGAUUCAUUGGGCGUAAAGGGUGCGUAGGCGGCGCGGUAAGUCGGGUGUGAAAUUUCGAGGCUUAACUCCGAAACUGCAUUCGAUACUGCCGUGCUUGAGGACUGGAGAGGAGACUGGAAUUUACGGUGUAGCGGUGAAAUGCGUAGAUAUCGUAAGGAAGACCAGUGGCGAAGGCGGGGUCUCUGGACAGUUCCUGACGCUGAGGCACGAAGGUCAGGGGGAGCAAACGGG
rnacentral:rRNA from 1 species